rnacentral:rRNA from 1 species
GAUGAACGCUGGCGGCGUGCCUAAUACAUGCAAGUCGAGCGAACAGACGAGGAGCUUGCUCCUCUGACGUUAGCGGCGGACGGGUGAGUAACACGUGGAUAACCUACCUAUAAGACUGGGAUAACAUCGGGAAACCGGAGCUAAUACCGGAUAAUAUAUUGAACCGCAUGGUUCAAUAGUGAAAGACGGUUUUGCUGUCACUUAUAGAUGGAUCCGCGCCGCAUUAGCUAGUUGGUAAGGUAACGGCUUACCAAGGCAACGAUGCGUAGCCGACCUGAGAGGGUGAUCGGCCACACUGGAACUGAGACACGGUCCAGACUCCUACGGGAGGCAGCAGUAGGGAAUCUUCCGCAAUGGGCGAAAGCCUGACGGAGCAACGCCGCGUGAGUGAUGAAGGUCUUCGGAUCGUAAAACUCUGUUAUUAGGGAAGAACAAAUGCGUAAGUAACUAUGCACGUCUUGACGGUACCUAAUCAGAAAGCCACGGCUAACUACGUG